UACGUAGGGGGCAAGCGUUGUCCGGAAUUAUUGGGCGUAAAGAGCGCGUAGGCGGUCCGAUAAGUCGGCUGUGAAAGUCAAGGGCUCAACCCUUGGAAGCCGGCCGAUACUGUCGGACUAGAGUCCGGAAGAGGCGAGUGGAAUUCCCGGUGUAGCGGUGAAAUGCGCAGAUAUCGGGAGGAACACCAAUUGCGAAGGCAGCUCGCUGGGACGGUACUGACGCUGAGGCGCGAAAGCGUGGGGAUCAAGCAGG
rnacentral:rRNA from 1 species